UUUUUUGAGAUCUUUUUCUCCGAAAUGAGCAGGAGUAAUAUGAUACCAAAGAAUGCGUUUCUGUUUUGUUUUACUACAGUGUUUCUUAAAAACGAAACAAAUAGCUCUUAACUGAAAAAGGCUGCUCUGCAGUGGUGAUGGCCUCUGACAGAAGAGGAGCAACACCUGGAAAUACUCCAAUCGGUUGAAGUCACAUGGAUCAACACCCAAGAAGUGCUCACACUGUUAAUGUGCUUCAGCUGACAGAUGCAAACAUCUUGAAUAAGUCUGGUCUGACAAGAAUAGAGCCCACUGAAAUGACAGAGGUACAGUGUGUGGCAAUGGAGAGAAAAAAAAAUCACCCACCCUGGUUUUAAUGAAGCAAAACAUUCUUUUAAUGCCAACUGGCUAAUUAGUAACAGGGACAAUUUCUCCCGUGCAGCAUAAUUAUCAGAAACAAGGCCAGAGGGCAGCUCACAUAUCCCAUAAAUGUAAAUAUUCUCUCCAUAUCACAGCAGAGCUUGCCAGGUAGAGAGACAAGAAGAAUAAUCUCAAUUGUCAGCUCUUGUGUGGCUCUAUGCUGAAGUCCACGUUUUCCACGCUCUGGGGAAAUAUCUCCCAGGGCAGGACUUCAACAGCAGCAGGAGGUUUCUGAAGCUGGUCCUGGAGCUGCACAUCCACGAACAACCCAACAUGCAUUGGGUGCUCGGUCUCCAAAUUACCUUCCCCUUCUGCCAACACCAGUCACUCAGAGGGACUGAGCUGUCAGCCUGGAGUUGCCAACAUAAACUAUCAAUGAAGCACAUAUCUGCUGUAUGUCAUCGUUAACUUCCAGCCAUCACCAGGGUGCAUCAUCAAGAACUUUCAGAAUAAACAUUUCACAUGAUAAACCUGCUUAUUCUCU
rnacentral:lncRNA from 1 species